UACGUAGGCAGCAAGCGUUGUUCGGAGUUACUGGGCGUAAAGGGUGCGUAGGCGGCCGUGUAAGUGUGGUGUGAAAUCUCCCGGCUUAACUGGGAGGGUGCGCUACAGACUGCAUGGCUAGAGUGUGGGAGAGGAAAGUGGAAUUCCGGGUGUAGCGGUGGAAUGCGUAGAGAUCCGGAAGAACACCGGUGGCGAAGGCGGUCUGCUGGGGGUCGAACUGACGCUGAGGCGCGACAGCGUGGGGAGCAAACAGG
rnacentral:rRNA from 1 species